rnacentral:rRNA from 1 species
GAUGAACGCUGGCGGCGUGCCUAAUACAUGCAAGUCGAGCGAACAGACGAGGAGCUUGCUCCUCUGACGUUAGCGGCGGACGGGUGAGUAACACGUGGAUAACCUACCUAUAAGACUGGGAUAACUUCGGGAAACCGGAGCUAAUACCGGAUAAUAUAUUGAACCGCAUGGUUCAAUAGUGAAAGACGGUUUUGCUGUCACUUAUAGCUGGAUCCGCGCCGCAUUAGCUAGUUGGUAAGGUAACGGCUUACCAAGGCAACGAUGCGUAGCCGACCUGAGAGGGGGAUCGGCCACACUGGAACUGAGACACGGUCCAGACUCCUACGGGAGGCAGCAGUAGGGAAUCUUCCGCAAUGGGCGAAAGCCUGACGGAGCAACGCCGCGUGAGUGAUGAAGGUCUUCGGAUCGUAAAACUCUGUUAUGAGGGAAGAACAAAUGUGUAAGUAACUAUGCACGUCUGGACGGUACCUAAGCAGAAAGCCACGGCUAACUACGU